rnacentral:rRNA from 1 species
UACGUAGGGUGCGAGCGUUGUCCGGAAUUAUUGGGCGUAAAGGGCUCGUAGGCGGUUUGUCGCGUCGGGAGUGAAAUCACUGGGCUUAACCGAGUGCUUGCUUUCGAUACGGGCAGACUUGAGGCAUUCAGGGGAGAACGGAAUUCCUGGUGUAGCGGUGAAAUGCGCAGAUAUCAGGAGGAACACCGGUGGCGAAGGCGGUUCUCUGGGAAUGUUCUGACGCUGAGGAGCGAAAGCAUGGGUAGCAAACAGG